rnacentral:misc_RNA from 1 species
AGCAGCCGCGGUAAUUCCAGCUCCAAUAGCGUAUAUUAAAGUUGUUGCAGUUAAAAGCUCGUAGUUGAAUUUCGGGGUUAGUAGGUUGGUCAUGCCUCUGGUAUGUACUGGUCUCACUGAUUCCUCCUUCCUGAUGAACCUUAAUGCCAUUAAUUUGGUGUUUUGGGGAAUUUGGACUGUUACUUUGAAAAAUUAGAGUGUUUAAAGCAAGCUAACGCUUGAAUACAUUAGCAUGGAAUAAUGAAAUAGGACGUUCGAUCCUAUUUUGUUGGUUUCUAGGAUUGACGUAAUGAUUAAUAGGGAUAGUUGGGGGCAUUAGUAUUCAAUUGUCAGAGGUGAAAUUCUUGGAUUUAUUGAAGACUAACUACUGCGAAAGCAUUUGCCAAGGAUGUUUUCAUUAAUCAAGAACGAAAGUUAGGGAUCGAAGACGAUCAGAUACCGUCGUAGUCUUAACCAUAAACUAUGCCGACUAGGGAUCGGAUGAUGUUAAUUUUUAAUGUACUCAUUCGGCGUCCGUUAC